rnacentral:rRNA from 1 species
AACGAACGCUGGCGGCAUGCCUAACACAUGCAAGUCGAACGAAGGCUUCGGCCUUAGUGGCGCACGGGUGCGUAACGCGUGGGAAUCUGCCCUUAGGUUCGGAAUAACAGUUAGAAAUGACUGCUAAUACCGGAUGAUGACGUAAGUCCAAAGAUUUAUCGCCUGAGGAUGAGCCCGCGUAGGAUUAGCUAGUUGGUGUGGUAAAGGCGCACCAAGGCGACGACCCUUAGCUGGUCUGAGAGGAUGAUCAGCCACACUGGGACUGAGACACGGCCCAGACUGGUACGGGAGGAAGCAGUGGGGAAUAUUGGAGAAUGGGCGCAAGGCUGAGCCAGCAAGGCCGCGUGGGUGAUGAAGGCCUUAGGGUUGUAAAGCUCUUUUGCCCGUGAUGAUAGUGACGGUAGCGGGAGAAGAAGCCCCGGCUAACUCCGUG